CUCAAAUGAUGUGAUAUUAAAUAAGACAAAACAUACUUUAUAACAUAACCAAUCACAAAAGAUUCACUUAACCAAUAUAAUUUAUUAGGGCAAAGGUCCAAAAUAUCCGAUAUUGUCCCACUUAUACUAUGAACUAUUUUUUCCCCCAAAAGUAUACACAUGGACGUUAUAAAUUUUGGAUCAACUAUGCACAUGCAGUUAACGUACAUGUCAGAUAGACUGUGGCUAACAUGACUUACGUGGCUAGACAAUUUUUAGUGAUAAAGCAUGAAGAUAAAAUUUUAACUCCUAAUUAAAACAAAUUAAACAACUUAAUUUCAAACUCAUCCAAUCAUUAUUUAGUGUCUGCCAUUUUCUCCCUCUAAACCCCUUCUCUGUAAACAAAUUAAACUCGGAUGAAACUGCUUAGAUCCAGGAUGAACAACCUCCAUAUUUCCCAUUAUUACACGACAUUAACGGCAUCAAGAGAUGCAGCUCAAGCCCAACCAAACUCUGAAUAUGAAACAUAGGCAAACAAAAUGAUACCCAGAACUAAGAAAACACAGAAUCAGACGAGCCAAAGACCCAGAUUCCUGCUGCCCAAACUUGGUGAGGGACAGCAAGCCAAGAUUCAACCAGCCAAAUGCAAAAGUGAAACUAAAAGCACCGAAACCCAAAUACCCAACACCAAAUCAAAACCAAACCAAAUAAUUAAAAGAAAAAAAAUAAAAACAAAACCAGCCAAAAUUGAAACUAAUUGAAAGUAAAACACCAAAUCAGACGAAUAAAAUUAAUAAGAAUCGUCCCCAAUUCAACUGAAAUGGAAACCUUAACAGAACCCGGAUCAGAACAUGAACAUGAUAUUCAAUAGAUGCAUCAUGAACGCAAAUCAAGAUGAAAUAUGGAUCAAUCGAGAGCAUCCCAGAAUCCAUAAAAACCACCAAAAAAGAGAAAAUCCAUAAUCCGACAAGCUCAGAACUUAAAUCAAAAGAACCUCAUGGUGAUGAAUUGGGGAGUUUUUUUAGCCUCGCCUAUCUUCCAAAACCCUUGUAAGGCUGCGAAGGAAAUGAGAGAGAUGAAAAGGUUUCUUUUUAGCGUUAUGUUGGAGAACGACUUCGGGAAAUGGCAUAAAAGUUGAAGCUCUGAUUGUUGAAGCUUUGAUCGGCAAACACAGAAUAUAGAUCCGAGUAAGAUGAGUUUAGAGAGAGAAAGCUUGAGAGAGAGAGAGAGAAAAUGGAUCUGAUAAAGAUGGAUUUAGAGAUACAGAAAAUGGAUUUGAAUUUUUUGGGAAACAAAAAUAUGUGAA
rnacentral:lncRNA from 1 species